AUUGAACGCUGGCGGAAUGCUUUACACAUGCAAGUCGAACGAUGAACCUUAGCUUGCUAAGGGGAUUAGUGGCGAACGGGUGAGUAAUAUAUCGGAACGUGCCUUGUAAUGGGGGAUAACUAGUCGAAAGAUUAGCUAAUACCGCAUACGCCCUGAGGGGGAAAGUUGGGGAUCUUCGGACCUUACGUUAUAAGAGCGGCCGAUAUCUGAUUAGCUAGUUGGUGGGGUAAUGGCCUACCAAGGCGACGAUCAGUAGCUGGUCUGAGAGGACGACCAGCCACACUGGAACUGAGACACGGUCCAGACUCCUACGGGAGGCAGCAGUGGGGAAUUUUGGACAAUGGGCGCAAGCCUGAUCCAGCCAUUCCGCGUGAGUGAAGAAGGCCUUCGGGUUGUAAAGCUCUUUCGCAAGGGAAGAAAACUUACCAUCGAAUAAAUGGUGAGGCUGACGGUACCUUGAUAAGAAGCACCGGCUAACUACGUG
rnacentral:rRNA from 1 species